rnacentral:lncRNA from 1 species
ACACCCCACAAAAUAGUAAAAAUGUACACCAUAUGCAACCAAAAUAAGGGAGAAAUUAAAGGAGAAAACUUUGAUCCUUGCUUUUAUUUGCCCCCCUUUUCUCUCUUCCUUUUUGCUGUUCUGAUAGUGAAAAAGGAAAAAAAAAAAAAAAAGUUAAAUGAUGCUGGUUGAGACUUUAGACAACAAAAGGUAAAUAUUCAACCACAAUCUUAAUUAAUUACAUUGUAAAUUAAAGAUCUGGACCAACAAUUCUUUCUGUUUUUUCAUGUUUACUUUUGCAUUAGAUGGAGAGAAUGACAAGUAGCUGCAAAAUGAUAUUAAAGUUGAAAUAAUGAACCAAGAAAAAAUAAUUAAAAAUAAUAGUGGGUUUGGAAACAAAGGUAAGACAAAGAUGAAUAGAACACAAACCUAACAAUGUAGGACAUGCAAAAGCAAAACCACUAUUAUAAAGUUUAUUUUUCUAUCUUUCAUUUCUAUAUUACAUGAAUCUCCUAAAAGGAACUGAAAUGCCAACUUUACCCAGAUAAUUCAAACUUCAAACUCUACAUGCCAAAUUGAUGGGAACCUAUUUGGCAUAUGCAUAACAUGCUAGACAAAAGAAAGUAAAUGUCCUUGCACCAGAACUAAAACCUCUCUAAGGCAAGAGGUUAUUACAUGGUCCUGAUUCACUACGUCAUCAAAAAAACUCAUCCGAUAAAAUGAUGAUAUUUAAUCUCAUUGGAUGAGUUUUGUGAUGACGUGCUGGAUCAAGUUCAUAUAAUAAUUUCUCCUCUGACUAUUAUUGCACUACCCAUGAAGGAAUUUAAAGUUCAUCUGGGCAGGGCAGCUAUAUCAGUGAACCACUAGAAAUAGUGUCUCAGAAAUGGACUGACAUUGAAGAGCUUCCCAAGUACAAUGAUCUAGAAAUAAGUAGCCCAUUUGACAAGUUUAAGGAUGCAUGCUUGAAGAGAGUUUGCAUUCUCUGUUAUUUUCGUUACUUUCUGUUAUGUUACACUACGUGAGGAUGAAUUUGAAUAUAUUCAUUAAUUAGAGAUGCAGAUUACAUGAAAAUCAAUCAAGAGAAAGGACUGGUUGCAGUUGCAGGUAAGAACGUAAGGGAAAAAUCAGAAUGUAUAAGCUAGAUGAAGUGGAUUAAACACCUGAACAUAGAUCCUGACGAUGACCAUGAGAUUCGUCUUAAGUCGCAACUUUAGAAAGGAAAUUUAACCCAUCUGCGGAGGUUUGUUUUUAUACUAGAUGCUAUUUUUUGGUAGGACAGAAACACCCUGAAAAAGGCCAGUACGUGCGAUUGGAAAGAAAGAGUCAUGGGGAAGUCCUUACUAGAGUAGAUCACAGUGACAGAGUGAAGCCUUAAUUGUCCUCGUGGUAGCUUUCUCCUUGAGAGUGCAUCAGGCUGACCAGUUUAUCCCUCUCAAAAACGUCAGGGGCUCUGAAAAUCUGAACCUGUGCAAGCCCCUUAAUUUAUU